CAUAGGUGAAAUAAACUUCCAUCUCGAGCUCAAUGGUCGCAUGCAACCACCACCAGUCCCUCUCCCUCUCUCUCUCCUGCCAGACUUCUGAGCCGAUUUGACCCUCUGUGCUACACUUACCUAUGGCGGCCAUUCUACAACUCCUCUCCGAUCCCUUUGCUUCCUCGUCGUCAUCAUUCUCUCUUCACUGUCUUGCGAGCAAUUUGUUGUCUGGACUCGCGCCUGCACCUGCGUUAAGGGAGAGAGGGAGUAUGAACAUACAAGUAUCUACUACUUUCCUUGGAUUUUUUUCUAGGUACUUUCCUUGGACUUUUUUUAUUCCUUUAUAAAGAUAUGUUACUUCCUCCACUCAAAUAAAAGUACUUGCUACAUUUAAGUUCACAUGGUCUCCGAUGUAUAAAAUUGACCACUAUUUUCUUCUAGAAAAUAUACUUAAAAUACUUCAACCUUCCAACAUGUGAGAUUUCGCAAAUAUUUUUGACAAACAAGUCUACACAUAAGAUUUACGUGUUUUUAAGAUAAGACCACCAGAGGAAAACUCUUCUCUAAAUUAUAAUUUGAAUAAAAUCACUCUCUAUAUGUUUUCACCCUCUA